rnacentral:rRNA from 1 species
ACACAUGCAAGUCGAACGAUGAUGGGAGCUUGCUCCUGGAUUAGUGGCGAACGGGUGAGUAACACGUGAGUAACCUGCCCUUAACUCUGGGAUAAGCCUGGGAAACUGGGUCUAAUACCGGAUAUGACUCCUCAUCGCAUGGUGGGGGGUGGAAAGCUUUAUUGUGGUUUUGGAUGGACUCGCGGCCUAUCAGCUUGUUGGUGAGGUAAUGGCUUACCAAGGCGACGACGGGUAGCCGGCCUGAGAGGGUGACCGGCCACACUGGGACUGAGACACGGCCCAGACUCCUACGGGAGGCAGCAGUGGGGAAUAUUGCACAAUGGGCGCAAGCCUGAUGCAGCGACGCCGCGUGAGGGAUGACGGCCUUCGGGUUGUAAACCUCUUUCAGUAGGGAAGAAGCGAAAGUGACGGUACCUGCAGAAGAAGCGCCGGCUAACUACGUGCCAGCAGCCGCGGUAAUACGUAGGGCGCAAGCGUUAUCCGGAAUUAUUGGGCGUAAAGAGCUCGUAGGCGGUUUGUCGCGUCUGCCGUGAAAGUCCGGGGCUCAACUCCGGAUCUGCGGUGGGUACGGGCAGACUAGAGUGAUGUAGGGGAGACUGGAAUUCCUGGUGUAGCGGUGAAAUGCGCAGAUAUCAGGAGGAACACCGAUGGCGAAGGCAGGUCUCUGGGCAUUAACUGACGCUGAGGAGCGAAAGCA